rnacentral:rRNA from 1 species
GAUGAACGCUGGCGGCGUGCCUAAUACAUGCAAGUCGAGCGAACGGACGAGACGCUUGCUUCGCUCAUGUUAGCGGCGGACGGGUGUGUAACAUGUGUAUAACCUACUUAUCAUACUGGGAUAACUUCGGGAAACCGGAUCUUAUACCGUAUAAUAUUCUGAACCGCAUUGUCGAAAAGUGAAAGUCGGUGCUGCUGUCACUUCUAGAUGGAUCUGCGCUGCAUUAGCUAGUUGUUAAGUUAACGGCUUAUCAAGGCAACGAUGCAUAGCCGACCUGAGAGGGUGGUAGGCGGCCUUAGAGCUGGGACGCGGUCCAGAGUCCUGCGAGAGGCAGCAGUCGGGAACCGUACGCAGUAGGCGAAAACAUGACAGAGUAGCGGCGCGUGAGAGAUGACGGUGUUGGGAGCGGAAAACUCUCUUAUGAGGGAAGAACCUAUGUGUAAGGAACUGUAGACAUCGUGACGGUAACUAAUCAGAAAGCAACGGCUAACUACGUG